rnacentral:rRNA from 1 species
UACGUAGGUGGCAAGCGUUGUCCGGAUUUACUGGGUGUAAAGGGCGUGCAGCCGGGAGUGCAAGUCAGAUGUGAAAUCCCGCGGCUCAACCGCGGAACUGCAUUUGAAACUGUGCUUCUUGAGUGCUGGAGAGGCAGACGGAAUUCCUAGUGUAGCGGUGAAAUGCGUAGAUAUUAGGAGGAACACCAGUGGCGAAGGCGGCUUACAAAUCUAUAUCGGACGCUGAGGCACGAAAGCGUGGGGAGCAAACAGG